AGAGACCAGUGAGAUUGAAGUGA
rnacentral:miRNA from 1 species